CUUUCCUCCUUAAUUACAUCGAGAUCUUGGGAAUUUAUUUUAUUUUCGUUAAAUAGAGGUAUUAAACAGAAUUUCCAAAUUUCAAGAAGGAAUGUAGGAACUCCCAAAUCUUGGAAAAUAAACAAUCUUGGGAAAAUACGUACUUAUGCUAAUUGCGAUCUUAUGACCCGUGUGUUCAGGUCGAAGACCUUCCAACGGGGGAAAACAGACUGGUUCGAAUGGCGGCGUAUUCAAAAGAGUCUCGUAGCGAUCUCAACCCCCUAACCGACGGCGACGCGACGACGAGUAAACACUGUGCAACGUUAAAGUCGUGAAAUCUCAGCCACGCGUGAUAUCGCGAUAUGUGCGAUCUCGAGGAGAAAAUUCAAUUAGCUCUGGUGGCCAGAUCGCCGCAGUUGCAGCUGCAAUCGGCAGAUACGUCUCAAGCACGUGUAGCACAUAACCGACAAUGCGAAAAGGCCUGCUCAACGCAACUCUCGGCUCGCUGACUUCAUGCACGGAUAGACUCCUUCUCCAGGUACACAACAAUUUCCAAGCCAGGUUAUACAUCGAAUGCUAGAAAUAAUGCGCCGGCUAGGUGAAUCGUGCCAGAAGGAUCGCCCUGGUCGACAGGAGAACUCGGCCAGAACGAAGGCAGAGAGCAAAUCACGGAACCACGGUGGUCAGCCACUUUAUCCUCGUGUACGCAGGGAACGGCGUCGAGCACCACGAGCACGGCUACGGCAUGCGUGCGCUGGCUAUGGGAGUUUGGCAGCGGCGGUCCAGCCCCGACGGGUCUCAUGGUGUUGCGUUACUUUCCCACAGGCGAGUCCUCUUCCUUCGUGUGCAAUUCUCUCCAGGUUGCACGGCGCGUACGCCCACCGUGUGCACCUGCACACGCAGAGCCCGCGAAUAGAGAACGCAGACAGGCCUACUGGUGCACACGGGACGAAAACUGGCAGUCAGAGGAGAAUGAAAAGAACCGAGAGAGAAGCACGCAUCUCACCUUGCAAGGCGAACCUGUUCGCCGCUCCCGAAACCGAAUCUCGCAGUAACCGAGUGUUACGACCUGAAAAUAAUGUUUCUGUGGAUCUUUAAAUUCCAGACUACGGGACUGGGGCGGAAGCUGAACGUCGGGAAUCGCCCGAUAGUCAGCAUUCGGAUGAAAAGUCGACCAUCGUGAGAUGAAACGGUAAUGGUGGUGUACGACGGUACUGCGUAAAUUUCUCGU